rnacentral:rRNA from 1 species
CCUACGGGGUGCAGCAGUGAGGAAUAUUGGUCAAUGGUCGGGAGACUGAACCAGCCAAGCCGCGUGAGGGAGGAAGGUACAGAGUAUCGUAAACCUCUUUUGUCAGGGAACAAAGGCGGGGACGUGUCCCCGGAUGAGUGUACCGUAAGAAAAAGCAUCGGCUAACUCCGUGCCAGCAGCCGCGGUAAUACGGAGGAUGCGAGCGUUAUCCGGAUUUAUUGGGUUUAAAGGGUGCGAAGGCGGUCUGUUAAGUAAGGGGUAAAAGCCCGGGGCUAAACCCGGGCGCGCCGUUGAUACUGGCAGUCUCGAGUUGGAGAGAGGUAUGCGGAAUGCGCGGUGUAGCGGUGAAAUGCUUAGAUAUCGCGCAGAACUCCGAUUGCGAAGGCAGCAUGCCGGAUCCACACUGACGCUGAGGCACGAAAGCGUGGGUAGCGAACAGGAUUAGAUACCCCAGUAGUC